rnacentral:rRNA from 1 species
GAACCUGAAACCGUGUACGUACAAGCAGUGGGAGCACAGGUUUACCUGUGUGACUGCGUACCUUUUGUAUAAUGGGUCAGCGACUUAUAUUCUGUAGCAAGGUUAACCGAAUAGGGGAGCCGUAGGGAAACCGAGUCUUAACCGGGCGUUAAGUUGCAGGGUAUAGACCCGAAACCCGGUGAUCUAGCCAUGGGCAGGUUGAAGGUUGGGUAACACUAACUGGAGGACCGAACCGACUAAUGUUGAAAAAUUAGCGGAUGACCUGUGGCUGGGGGUGAAAGGCCAAUCAAACCGGGAGAUAGCUGGUUCUCCCCGAAAGCUAUUUAGGUAGCGCCUCGUGAAUUCAUCUCCGGGGGUAGAGCACUGUUUCGGCUAGGGGGCCAUCCCGGCUUACCAACCCGAUGCAAACUGCGAAUACCGGAGAAUGUUAUCACGGGAGACACACGGCGGGUGCUAACGUCCGUCGUGAAGAGGGAAACAACCCAGACCGCCAGCUAAGGUCCCAAAGUCAUGGUUAAGUGGGAAACGAUGUGGGAAGGCCCAGACAGCCAGGAUGUUGGCUUAGAAGCAGCCAUCAUUUAAAGAAAGCGUAAUAGCUCACUGGUCGAGUCGGCCUGCGCGGAAGAUGUAACGGGGCUAAACCAUGCACCGAAGCUGCGGCAGCGACGCUUAUGCGUUGUUGGGUAGGGGAGCGUUCUGUAAGCCUGUGAAGGUGGCCUGUGAGGGUUGCUGGAGGUAUCAGAAGUGCGAA